GCCACGGUGGUCUAGCGGUUAGAACGCUGGCCUUGUAAUCCUGGGGUCUCGGGUUCGAUCCCCAGCCGUGCCC
rnacentral:tRNA from 1 species